rnacentral:tRNA from 2 species
GCGAUAGUGGCUCAGUUGGUAGAGCGCCACCUUGCCAAGGUGGAAACCGCGGGUUCGAGUCCCGUCUAUCGCU